rnacentral:rRNA from 1 species
GACGAACGCUGGCGGCGUGCUUAACACAUGCAAGUCGAGCGGUAAGGCCCUUUCGGGGGUACGACGAGCGGCGAACGGGUGAGUAACACGUGGGUGACCUGCCCUCAGCUCUGGGAUAAGCCUGGGAAACCGGGUCUAAUACCGGAUAUGACUCCAUGACGCAUGUUGGUGGGGUGGAAAGCCUUGUGCGGCUGAGGAUGGGCCCGCGGCCUAUCAGCUUGUUGGUGGGGUGAGGCCUACCAAGGCGACGACGGGUAGCCGGCCUGAGAGGGCGACCGGCCACACUGGGACUGAGACACGGCCCAGACUCCUACGGGAGGCAGCAGUGGGGAAUCUUGCGCAAUGGGCGAAAGCCUGACGCAGCGACGCCGCGUGAGGGAUGACGGCCU